ACAAUAAUGUCAAAUAUCAACACUCGUUUUCGAUUAAUCCAAUGUCUACUUGGCUCUCUCUCUCCUCUCAUAUGGAUGUGGAAGCAAGCUACAGCUUAAGAGCUUUUUCCGCACUCUCCAAUGGAGUCUCCAAAACCCUCAAACCCUCUCCUAUCACUCUCCACCUUCAUACACCAACAAUGCCUCCGUCUUGGUACCGACCUCUCCACCCGACUCCAACAUACCAAGCGCUUCGCCCAAACCGUAACCGGAAAUUGGCCCAACAGGAGGCGCCUCCGUCUCUCGCCACUACCACCUCUUCCGCCAUUUGCCUCCUUAACUCAGCCCAAGCCAGCCAUGGCCGCCGCUUUGUUCUCCGAUCAUGUGGCCAAGACUCUCGCCGGCACCGCCGUCUACACCGUUAGCAAUUCGAAUAAUGAGUUCGUCCUCAUUUCCGACCCUGAAGGAGUCAAUUCAAUUGGCUUACUCUGCUUCCGCCAGGAGGACGCCGAAUCGUUUCUUGCUCAAGUUCGGCUGCGGCGAAGAGAACUGAGAAGUGGUGCUAAAGUUGUCCCCAUUAUGCUUGAUCAGGUAUAUAUGCUGAAGGUUGAAGGAAUAGCAUUUCGGUUUUUGCCUGAUCCAGUUCAGAUAAAAAAUGCUCUUGAGCUCAAAGCAACUGAUCUCAAAAAUGGAGUCGACGGAGUUCCUAUUUUCCAGUCUGACCUACUGGUUGUGAAGAAGAAAAACAAGCGUUAUUGCCCAAUAUAUUUUACCAAGGAAGAUAUAGAUAGAGAGCUCUCUAAGGUCUCUAGGUCAUCAAGAGGACCAGGGGUUUCUCAAAAUAUCUUGGUUGGUAGUCUGGAAGACGUUUUAAGAAAAAUGGAGACGAGUGAAAAGAACUCUGGCUGGGAAGAUUUGAUUUUUAUUCCACCCGGAAAAAGUUACUCCCAGCACAUUCAAGAUGUGAGUAAAAAAUGAAGAUACACAGCAUAGCUACAACUUACAACAACACCAAAACAACGAGACAGUUGCAUAUUCCGAUGGCUCGCAGCGAAGCAGAGCUUUUGUAGGUAGAAAAAGCAGAGGAAGAUGAAAAAGAAGGGUUGCGAGGAAGAAAGGACUCACUAUUGUUAUCUUCAUUUUUUAGAAAUUACAUGUUCUAGAUGUUUUCAUUUGAUUUUCUAGAAAGGGUAAAUAGUUCCCAACCUUCCCCAAUAUUUCAUUUAGGUCUCCAACUUUUUUUUUUAUAGUGUCUAGGUCUUAACCUUUAUUUUUUUGGUUUUUAUGGCUCACUAGUCCCCGAGGCUAUAUUCCAUUCAAAAUCUAUUAAAUACCAUGAAUUAU